UUUUUUUUUUUAAGUAUUUUAGGCAUAUUUAAUAAAUAACUUCAGUAAAUAGCACUGUAAAAAGUGAACUGUUAAAACUAAAGGCACUUAAAACAAGAAUGUGACUAGUGUGAAACAAGAUGGGCAACUCAAAUGGUGAGAAGUAAACAUACAGUGGUCUGUUAUGGCACUAACUCAAAGUAAGACUCGCGUAGGUGAGAGCUGUUGCAUAGCCACAGUAUAACUUCACAUGUUCAUUAAAAAGGCAAAUUGACCGCUAAAACUUCAAAGAAAAAGUACUCAUAAAAAAAGUCUUACCCCAAAAUUGCAAACAAAUACAUUAAAAGAUUAGAAGAGGUGACAGAAAGCACCAGACAUUAAACAAAAUAAAAAUAAUAAAAUAAAUUCAACUCAAAAGGUCCCCAUUCAGCAAAUACUUUGUAAAGUAUGGCCUGUAUGUAAAUAGUGCUAAAUCAAGGACUUUUUAGCAAAAAAUUGCUCGGUUCUUUUAUCUAAGGCUUGAAUUUGUAAAGUGAAGGCAUAAAAGUUACCAAACAUUAAGUAACUCUUAAAAUGGCACACAGGUUUUAAAGCUAUUGGUUUUUCCUUCCUAACUCUCUGAAUUUUUCCCAUGGCCUUUGUAGAUCAACUAUUUCAAACGUAUUUUACACCAGCAACUCUCAACAUACUUGUCUUUCAGAUAUGUCAUCAGUCAUGUCUAACAGGCAAAUAGCAAAAUAACAGAUUUAAAACAAUCCUUAACUAGCUAGCAGGACAUUUACUUUGGAUUCUGCAUAACUGCAAACUGACAUAUUUGUAAAGCUAAAAAUCAGUUUUAAUACAUGAUUAACAGAAACUCUCAUCAUGCUCAUUACUUUAACUAUUGCCCUUUCAAUCGCUAUAGAAAUAUCACUUAAUCCAAUAAGCUUGAUUUCAAUAGUCCAGGAAGAAAAGGUCAAAAAGGCACAAUGUGACCUUAGCUGACAAGAAUAACCAUCCUGUCUCAAGUCUUUUGUCAGUCCCUGGCAUGAAUUACAACAUUAUUUUCAAAAUAAUAAAACAUUUUAAAAAUUAUACUAGUACUUGUGAAGCCAGCAACGGACAGAUCUGCAAUGGCCGGGGCAUCUGCGAGUGUGGUGUCUGUAAGUGUACAGAUCCGAAGUUUCAAGGGCAAACGUGUGAGAUGUGUCAGACCUGCCUUGGUGUCUGUGCUGAGCAUAAAGAAUGUGUUCAGUGCAGAGCCUUCAAUAAAGGAGAAAAGAAAGACACAUGCACACAGGAAUGUUCCUAUUUUAACAUUACCAAGGUAGAAAGUCGGGACAAAUUACCCCAGCCGGUCCAACCUGAUCCUGUGUCCCAUUAGUGUCCCACUGGUCCAGACAUCAUUCCAAUUGUAGCUGGUGUGGUUGCUGGAAUUGUUCUUAUUGGCCUUGCAUUACUGCUGAUAUGGAAGCUUUUAAUGAUAAUUCAUGACAGAAGGGAGUUUGCUAAAUUUGAAAAGGAGAAAAUGAAUGCCAAAUGGGACACGGGUGAAAAUCCUAUUUAUAAGAGUGCCGUAACAACUGUGGUCAAUCCGAAGUAUGAGGGAAAA
rnacentral:lncRNA from 10 species